AGCUGGUUGAACGCUACCUAAUGUAACCGCUCCAUUCAUACAGUAUGGUUUGCAUGCUGGGAAAAGGGUUGAUCUUUGCUGAUGUUGUCUUGAUGUGAGAGAACCAGUUGGA